GGAUGUGCUCCCGCCCAACCACCUCGCCGGCGCCGAUGCCAGGAGAGGAUAAGGACCCCCCUCAGCCCCCUCGAUCCCCUCCCCACUUUCCUGCCGCACCCACUCCCCUCUUCCUCAUCGCUCUCCCCACUCCUCCAGAUCCCCUUCUCCCUCGCCCGACGCUGCUGUCGACGUGCGUCGCUCGAUCCCGCGGCCAUCGGCACCUCCGAGCGUCGAGGCUUCGUCUACGAGGUGCGCUGCCAUCUGCUUCAUCCUCCUCGACCAAUGGAUGAACCCUGGGCCGUCUACAUCGCCAUCAUCGACCCCAUCCCCAACCACCGGUCAUUGCCCGGCCUCAUCGGAUCUCCUUGCCGGAGACUACCCGACCUCGGCAAGCUCGUCCACGGCCUCCCCAGGAUGGUGGAUCCCUGGAGCCAGAUGCCAUCGCUGACUGAUACUGCUACAUGGAUGCUGCCGAAGACCAGGAGUAGUUAGGAUGUCCCAGGCAGGAGGCCUUGCCUCUUCGAUCGUGUUGCUUUUGUGCUAGCCUUCUUAAGGCAUCUUUGUUUAACUUAUGUCUGUCCUUAGAUAUUGUUGCUUCCGCAGACUCUUGUGUAUUGAGCUAUGUAUUCGAGCCUUCGAGGCCCCUGGCUUGUAA